UCCGUGACUUACUGCCCAAAGCCUGGGAAC
rnacentral:piRNA from 1 species